rnacentral:rRNA from 1 species
AUGAUAUGCUUUAACAAGUUGUUGGGAAUAUCCUUGACAAUGUGCCACUUGACAGGGAAACAACCAGUCCACUUGUCUUGCUGCCAGUGUUCCACCGUCUUGUCAAAAUCAACCUGGCCAACCAUCUCAGCGAGACCAACAAACUGCCCACUGGUGUUAACCUGAAAAAGAACAUCAUACUCGUCAGCUUACCACAAACUUGUUGAUAAUGCAAGACUUCUAAAAAGAGCACAAGAUCUGAAAACUUACAGAGAAGAGAAGGAACACAGGAGAAUUGCCAGAUUUAGCUUCUAG